UAAAGCUAAAUACCGGCUGGAGACCGAUAGCGCACAAGUAGAGUGAUCGAAAGAUGAAAAGCACUUUGGAAAGAGAGUCAAAAAGUACGUGAAAUCGUUGAAAGGGAAGCGCUCCAACCAGACCUGCCCGUGAGUGAUCAACCGCCGUUCUCGGUGGUGCACUCGCUCGCGAUCAGGCCAGCAUCGGUUCGGGCGGUCGGAUAAAGGCCUUGGGAAUGUAGCUCCUCUCGGGGAGUCUUAUAGCCCUCGGUGCAAUGCGGCCAGCCCGGACCGAGGACCGCGCUUCGGCUAGGAUGCUGGCGUAAUGGUUGUAAGCGACCCGUCUUGAAACACGGACCAAGGAGUCUAACAUCUAUGCGAGUGUUUGGGUGUCAAACCCAUACGCGGAAUGAAAGUGAACGGAGGUGAGAACCCUUUAGGGCGCAUCAUCGACCGAUCCAGAUGUCUUCGGAUGGAUUUGAGUAUGAGCAUAGCUGUUGGGACCCGAAAGAUGGUGAACUAUGCCUGAAUAGGGUGAAGCCAGAGGAAACUCGUG
rnacentral:rRNA from 1 species